CAGAAUCAUCUGAAUGAAUACACCCCUGAUCACACUCAAACAUAGUUCACUUUCAUAGCAGCCACAUGCAAACAGCAUGAUCACUUUCAUAGCAGCCACAUGCAAACAGCAUGAUCACUUUCAUAGCAGCCACAUGCAAACAGUAUGAUCACUUGCAUAGCAGCCACAUGAAAACAGCAUGAUCACUUUCAUAGCAGCCACAUGCAAACAGCAUGAUCCCUUUCAUAGCAGCCACAUGCAAACAGCAUGAUCCCUUUCAUAGCAGCCACAUGCAAACAGCAUGAUCACUUUCAUAGCAGCCACAUGCAAACAGCAUGAUCACUUUCAAAUCAGCCACAUACAAAUCAAAUCAAAUUUAUUUUUAUAUAGCCCUUCGUACAUCAGCUGAUAUUCUCAAAGUGCUGUACAGAAACCCAGCCUAAAACCCCAAACAGCAAGCAAAGCAUGUGAAACAAGCACGGUGGCUAGGAAAAACUCCCUAGGAAAAACUCCCUAGAAAGGCCAAAAACCUAGGAAGAAACCUAGAGAGGAACCAGGCUAUGAGGGGUGGCCAGUCCUCUUCUGGCUGUGCAGAGUGGAUAUUAAAACAGAACAUGGUCAAAAUGUUAAAAUGUUAAAAUGUUCAUAAAUGACCAGCAUGGUCAAAUAAUAAUAAUCAUAGUAGUUGUCGAGGGUGCAACAAGCACGUCCGGUGAACAGGUCAGGGUUCCAUAGCCGCAGGCAGAACAGUUGAAACUGGAGCAGCAGCACGGCCAGGUGGACUGGGGACAGCAAGGAGUCAUCAUACCAGAACAACCUCAAUUCAUCAGUGCAUGGACUCUACCAGAUGUUGAAAGCGUUCCACAAGGAUGCUGGCCCAUGUUGACUCCAAUGCAUCAAGUUGUCAAGUUGGCUGGAUGUCCUUUGGGUGGUGAACCAUGCUUGAUACACAUCGGAAACUGUUGAGCAUGAAAAACCCAGCAGCGUUGCAGUUCUUGAUACAAACCGGUGCGCCUGGCACUUAUUACCAUAUCCUCUGAAUGGCACACAUAUACAAUCCAUGUCUCAAUUGUCACAAGGCUUAAAAAUCCUUAUUUGCCCUGUCUCCUCC
rnacentral:lncRNA from 1 species